rnacentral:lncRNA from 1 species
AUUGAAGUGAUUUCUUUCUCACAUCAUAGGCCUCUAAUGGACUUGCUCUGAUUUUGAAGGUGUUUUCUCUUUGUCUUUUCUAGGAAGUUGGGGAUGAGAGAGGGGAAGGAGUAGCAUCUUGUUCCGUCGGCCUCCUUGAUCUAAGCCUUUGUUGUGAAUUCGUUUUUACCACAUUUAAAGUGUGAUGCCCAGAAUGGAACUCGGGGCUGCUGGCACCCCCAUCCAUCUUUGGAGGCCCUGGACAUAAUCGAUGGGGCAGGCAGAAGACCUGCAGCUCCAAGCCUGCUAGUCGAAAGGCAUCUCUCUGCAGGUAUUGGGUUUUCUCUGAGCUCAGCUGCUGCUCUUGGCCUUCUUUCUCCAGUUUCUGUCCUCCUCUACCAGCCUUGAGACUGCAGUGUGGAGAUAUGUCGCCUCUGUUUUGUCUGGGCUGCUUCUGUCUGGGAUGAUGGAAUCCUCACUAAAUGGGAAAUGUUUAUGGAGGAGGAGGGAGAUGGGGAAGUCAUUCCCUCCUGUUAACAUUUCGGCUUAAGUUAGCUUAUUCAUAUGAAUGACACAAAGUCGUAAUUGCUCCUAAUCAAAUCUGUGCACACAGUAAAGCCUCUUUUAUGCAAUGAGUGUUUACUUAAUUGAAUGUUACAUAUAAAUGAAGGUUACUCCUUCAAGUGACAAACGUGAGGGAUUUCAAUGGAAAAUUCUGAAAAUGAGCCCCUGAAGGAGGGAAGAUGGGAGAUGAAAGAUGCUGGAAGAGAACAGAAUGGGGCCAAGACGCUCCAGGAGAGCACCGGGGGAAUCCCAGUUGCUCUUGGGUUUCACUUCCAAGGGCAAAACGAUGAUGACAAAUUGCUUUCUGAGAAUCCAUCCCUCUUGCAGGGACUUUCAGCCAGAGACUUGUCCAUAAUGGGCUCUGCAUCAUGUCAGAGCCCUAAACCAUAAUUAAACACCAUUGCAU